UUGUAGCCACCUCAGGGGAAGCAACAGAUCGUCACUCGGUGUUCUCACCGAAAGCACGUAAUCGCCGGUGUAACUCAUGUUGGCUGGGGGGCCUCCCGGCGCGCGGCGAGGCUGAGGUGCGCCCCAUGCCACUCGCUUGUGCUCAGCGGCACGGUCCUGGCCCUCAAGUGCGCCGAGGGCGGUGAGAGAGCUCAACUCCUGCCACCCAUCACUCCCCGGGUGAGGGAUGCCCCGGGCUGGGGGUGGCCGGGUGGGAGCUCGUCGCUGCGUGGCCGGUGCGCGGUCCUGGAAUCUAUUCUCCUGGAGGCUCGCGUUCGCACCUCCUUCGCUAUCCCCCUCCCACAAGCUUGCUCUGGGAACCACCUCUGUCUCCGACUCUGGCCGGACCCCUUCGGGGCCAGGGUUCGCAGCCGUGGAUGUGCCUGCCUCGUGGCUUGCCCGAUUUGCACGGUGACUUGAUUACACGCUCGCAUUCAUGGUCACUUCCGAAGCGCUUUAGUGCCUUCCGUCCCUAAACCGCCAACAACCAGGGCGGCUUCCCCCGCGGUUUGUCAGGCAUCUGCAGGUCCCGGAAGGGCCUUCGUCUUACCCGGGAUCCACCUCCACUUCAUCCUCCCCGCCGGCCUCCUCACUCCACCCCUUGCCCUUGAAGAAACCCCUUCCUCCUCGCUGCCUGCCGGGGGUUGGAGUCACUCAGCGGAGCCAGACGCGUGGGGGCUGCGCCACUGUGCACGCCCGCCUGGUCUUCUGGAGCUGAGGACUCGGGAAACCACGCAGUUGAGGCGAGCCUUGGGCUGCUUAGAGGCGCUGACAUCCGAGGAGCCUUUCCUGGGUAUGCUGCACCUUCCGGGGGCCCAUCAGGACGCCAGCAGAGCUGCAGAGUUGAAGGAGAGUGAGGGCAGUGAGAAGGAAGGAGGCUAGGGCCAGGGAGCUGUGGCUGAGAAAGGGGUAACCCGCCUCCUCUCCUUCCUUGCAAAGCGUGAGAGCCAGUGAUGUGCAAGCAGAAAGAAACUCAGAAGGCUGGGCGCCUUUUCUGCUACUCAUCCCACAGAAGGAACAUAAUGCUAAAGAAAAGAGCCAUGCUUCCCCAACUCCUGGCACUGUGGGUGACAAGAACGCCCUGAAAAGGCUAGGUUUGAGCCAAAGAUAGAGACAGGGGUCAUAGCUGUGGUAGGAGACUAGCUUUUUUGGGAAAAGGAAAGAAAAAAAUUAAGAUGGUGAAAAGGGCUUGCCAUCCUGCAGGAUUGGAUGAUCAACGUUUGGGAGAAGUGAAAGAAGAGGGCAUAGAGCAGCUAAGCAGGACCGGCGACUGGGAGGGGCCCAGAGGCCUCCCCACACCUAUCUUCUUGGAAGGAGCUGGAUGUCGCUGAAGGAAAGUCGAAAAAUGAAAAAGGAUAACCUUUUCCCUUUCCCCAUCCAGGAAAUAGCUGAAGGUGCCAGGGAGAGGGGGUCCCGGCAGAAAGGAGGCCCAACAGCUGAAGGGAGCCCACCCGGCUCAGGGAAGACCUGACGGGUGCUGAGGCCACCCUGGAAAGCCACAUCCGAGUUGUAUUUCUUGAAGAGAUUGAGUGGGCAAGGCUAGGACAUUGGCCCUGGCAGCUGGUUGCCCAUGAACUGUCCUUUCUCCGGAGCUCCACAGCGCGGGGCCAUCUCCAGAAAACAGUCUCCAGCAUGUAUUUCCUUUUAUCCUCAACCCAGAACCCCACGGCAGCUAAUGCAAAAGGCCAAAAAUGUUCUGGAGGAAGAAAAACAAAGGCAGGAAGUGGCGGCGGCCUGAUGGUUCGUGUGUGUCUGUGGAGAAGGGAGGGAGCCUUUUCAAUCUCUUCUUGUUGUUUUUCCAAACUUCAAGGUCUAGGCAGCCCUCGCAGGGCCGGGCCCUUUCGCUUGGAGACGGCCACCCGGAGGGGAGAAGGAUGGCUCCCGAGCCCGCCCUGUCAAGUGGAAACGGCUAACAAGGCGAUUUGCUCAGCAAAGCAGACCAAGCCUUCGCAAGGCUCCGUUUGAUUUGGCCCUAAACGGGGGAGGGGGAGUUUGAGGGCUUCGGCAGUACCUCCCGGAUCCUCCUUGUUGCGGCUGAGUGGGCCCUGGUGGGGAUGAUUCCUGCGUCCUGCGCCCCACCCACCUUCCCAGGCAAGAUACUGGAAUAAAUUGCGUCCAGGUGCCUCUG